UUGUGCAAUACAGCCUAAAGGUGACUGGCAGACAAAGGCUGAGCAAGACAGGCCGCUAGAGAACUGCAAGAAGGCUUUAGAGAUUUAACCUCACCCACACCUCAACCUACGUCCACAGGAGGAUCUGGAAGCAGCAUUAAGUCUGAAGCCUUCAUUUGAAUGGAAUAAACCUUGUCAGUACUUAAUCAAAUGCCCAGGAGACACUGUCCUAGCCUGAAAUUCAUCAGUUUGAAAGCCCUAACAAAGUCCUAAGUCAAAGUUCAGUUAAAUAUAUGGUAAAAAAAAAUUCAAACAUCAGCAUGAUUUUGGCUAGUUGGACUCCGAAAAACUUCCAUGGCCAACUAAAUAGAGCUGUGGCUGCCUUACAUGUUACAUACACGGCACCUAGGAAGCAUCAUGCAUGGAGCGCUGGAUUUGCAUUCAGGAAGACCCAAGUUCAAAUCCUUCCUCAGUCACUUGUAUGUGUGACCCUGGGCAAACCAC